rnacentral:rRNA from 1 species
AUUGAACGCUGGCGGCAUGCUUUACACAUGCAAGUCGAACGGCAGCGCGGGCUUCGGCCUGGCGGCGAGUGGCGAACGGGUGAGUAAUGCAUCGGAACGUGCCCAGUAGUGGGGGAUAGCCCGGCGAAAGCCGGAUUAAUACCGCAUACGACCUGAGGGUGAAAGCGGGGGACCGAAAGGCCUCGCGCUAUUGGAGCGGCCGAUGUCGGAUUAGCUAGUUGGUGGGGUAAAGGCUUACCAAGGCGACGAUCCGUAGCUGGUCUGAGAGGACGACCAGCCACACUGGGACUGAGACACGGCCCAGACUACUACGGGAGGCAGCAGUGGGGAAUUUUGGACAAUGGGGGCAACCCUGAUCCAGCCAUGCCGCGUGCGGGAAGAAGGCCUUCGGGUUGUAAACCGCUUUUGUUCGGGAAGAAAUCCUCUGGGCUAAUACCCCGGGGGGAUGACGGUACCGGAAGAAUAAGCACCGGCUAACUACGUG